rnacentral:rRNA from 1 species
CCUACGGGAGGCAGCAGUAGGGAAUAUUGCUCAAUGGGGGAAACCCUGAAGCAGCAACGCCGCGUGGAGGAUGAAGGUUUUCGGAUUGUAAACUCCUUUUGGUAGAGAAGAAAAUGACGGUAUCUAACGAAUAAGCACCGGCUAACUCCGUGCCAGCAGCCGCGGUAAUACGGAGGGUGCAAGCGUUAGCCGGAAUCACUGGGCGUAAAGAGCGCGUAGGCGGGUUGGCAAGUCAGAUGUGAAAUCCUACGGCUUAACCAUAGAACUGCAUUUGAAACUGGUAUUCUAGAGUAUGGGAGAGGUAGGCGGAAUUCUUGGUGUAGGGGUAAAAUGCGUAGAGAUCAAGAGGAAUACUCAUUGCGAAGGCGACUUGCUAGACCAUAACUGACGCUGAUGCGCGAAAGCGUGGGGAGCAAACAGGAUUAGAUACCCUUGUAGUC